rnacentral:piRNA from 1 species
AUGUGAUGAGAAAGGAAGAGAAGCUGA